AUUUUGAGAGGGCAAGGUCAGGAGUGAUCACUUUGGGUGGACCACGAGGUCAGGAGUUCAAGAUCAGCCUGGCCAACAUGGCAGGAGAAUGGCUUGAACCUGGGAGGCGGAGGUUGUAGUGAGCCGAGACUGCUCCACUGGACUGCAGCCUGGGUGACAGAGCGAGACUCCGUCUCAAAAAAAAAAAAAAAGAAGAUGACAUCCAUGAUGUUAAUAAAAGCGGAGGUAUUAGGGGAAGGGAGACAUCCUGUCAACUUUUCAUCAGCUCACAUUUGACCCUCAGCUUUUUUCUGUUAAUCUAGUUAUCAUAUCAACAGCGUUCUCACAAAUGACCAAAGACAGUGUCGGUGGCUCUUAGUGUUUGAAAGUAAAAAUGUAUAAUAUUUUUAAAAUGCCAACAGACUGAAAACAGGAAUGAGGCAUCAUUGGUUGUAAACUGUCUCCUGAGCUGGUAAUUCCAUCUCCAUCUCAAGCAGAAAAAACAUACCCGUGUGCCCAGGGGCUCUCACCCCAGCACACCUCUUGCCCACUUAGCCUAGUUGAUGGUCAAAUUACUGAGUGGAGUUUAAAUGCCCUUCAGACUUUAUAGGUGGAAUUCCUGAAACGCG
rnacentral:lncRNA from 10 species